CACUUGUUGUUUUUUAAAUCUUUCUUUAUCAGAAAAAUCUCCAUUCAAAACUAGGACCAAAUUUGGAAAAAUAAAAUAUGUGCCUCUCAUUAAUUCCCGUCUUUCUUCUUUCCUCUUGCUUAAGUGGCUCCCAGUCACCAGCUCAAAUCUGAAGGUUCAUGAACUAUACUUCCUCUGAAUAAUGAUGUCCUGUUUCAAGAUAGUCUUCAACUUCGCUUCACACAGCAAAGGAUCGUUGGCUUGAACAAAUCGCCCGUGCUAAGCAUGAAAGGGGCAUCUGGCUGGCUGCCUUAUGGCCACUACCUUAAAUAACUGUCCCCACCUAGUCAUCAAAGCUGAACAUGAAAAAAACAACCUUUUCAACUGGCUGAAGCCUGCUGAGACAGAGACCACACUGGAGCAUCGGACUGAGCUCCUAAGGUCUCAAUGAGGAGCAGAAGGAGGGAGAACAUGAACAAAGAAGUCAGGACCACGAGGGGUGCACCCACCCACUGAGACAGUGGGGCUGAUCUAUUGGGAGCUCACCAAGGCCAGCUGGACUGUGAAUGAAAAAGCAUGGGAUAAAACCGGACUCUUUGAUCAUGGCGGACAAUGAGGACUGAUGAGAAGCCAAGGACAAUGGCAUGGGGUUUUGAUCCUACUUCAUGUUCUGGCUUUGUGGGAACCUAGCCAGUUUGGAUGUUCACCUUC